rnacentral:RNase_P_RNA from 1 species
AGGGCAGUCUAUCGCUGAUGGCUUUUGCCAUUUGAGGAAAGUCCGGGCAAUGCAGAGCAUCACGCUUCCUAACGGGAAGAACUGCCGCAAGGUGUUGUGAGCGUAACAGAAAAUAACCGCCCUCUCGAGGGUAAGGGUGAAAAGGCGGGGUAAGGGCCCACCGUUCUUCAAGUGAUUGAAGUCGCAUAUACGCAGCCGUGAAUUGUAAUGCCAUGUAUACUCAUGCCAAGCUUCCGCUUGCAGACGUUGCUCGCGCCUGAUGUACCCUUGCGGGUAGUGUAUGAGGGGGUAGGCAGCUUGAGCUAAUCGGUGACGGUUAGUCCAGAUAAAUGAUAGACCACGCCCUCGGGCGGUGACAGAACUCGGCUUAUAGCCUUGCUAC